rnacentral:rRNA from 1 species
AUUGAACGCUGGCGGCAGGCCUAACACAUGCAAGUCGAGCGGUAGCACAGAGAGCUUGCUCUCGGGUGACGAGCGGCGGACGGGUGAGUAAUGUCUGGGAAACUGCCUGAUGGAGGGGGAUAACUACUGGAAACGGUAGCUAAUACCGCAUAAUGUCGCAAGACCAAAGUGGGGGACCUUCGGGCCUCAUGCCAUCAGAUGUGCCCAGAUGGGAUUAGCUAGUAGGUGGGGUAACGGCCCACCUAGGCGACGAUCCCUAGCUGGUCUGAGAGGAUGACCAGCCACACUGGAACUGAGACACGGUCCAGACUCCUACGGGAGGCAGCAGUGGGGAAUAUUGCACAAUGGGCGCAAGCCUGAUGCAGCCAUGCCGCGUGUGUGAAGAAGGCCUUCGGGUUGUAAAGCACUUUCAGCGGGGAGGAAGGCGAUAAGGUUAAUAACCUUGUCGAUUGACGUUACCCGCAGAAGAAGCACCGGCUAACUCCGUGCCAGCAGCCGCAGUAA